rnacentral:hammerhead_ribozyme from 1 species
GUCCGGCUGACGAGUCCCAAAUAGGACGAAACGCGCGUCCUGGAU